UACGAAGGGGGGCUAGCGUUGUUCGGAUUUACUGGGCGUAAAGCGCACGUAGGCGGAUUGUUAAGUCAGGGGUGAAAUCCUGGAGCUCAACUCCAGAACUGCCUUUGAUACUGGCAAUCUUGAGUCCGGAAGAGGUGAGUGGAACUCCUAGUGUAGAGGUGGAAUUCGUAGAUAUUAGGAAGAACACCAGUGGCGAAGGCGGCUCACUGGUCCGGUACUGACGCUGAGGUGCGAAAGCGUGGGGGAGCAAACAGG
rnacentral:rRNA from 1 species